CUCCAUUUUUGACUGCAGAAAAAUAAUAGAGCAAUUUUUCCAUUGCUGAGAACUCGGACUACAUGCUAUAAGGAGGUGCUUAGCUUUCAGGGGGCUGAAACCCCAGCUGCAGGUAGGCUGCAGUUAAUACUACCUGGCUAGGAGUCUCAGAGCCAGCUGCAACUGCUGGUUAGUAAAUGAGGAUGGAGCCACAGAAAGGGUUAAGAGCUCCAGGAGCAGAGUGUAAAGGGACAGAAGAAAGGAGGCUCUGGUGUUGAGGGAGGAGUACAGAGCAUAGGUUGCAUCUCUGAAGGAAGACUGUAAGUUUUGGUUGUGUUUGUUUUUUUUUGUUGAAUACUUGCUUGUUUUGUUUCCUGUGGGACUAAGACUGCCUCAAGUAAAAUAAACUGGCUGGAAACACUGAACCCAGAGCUGACUGGCCUUGAUAAGGAAGCUUGAGGAGAUUUCCAGAGCAGAGCCAGACUCCAAAGUACCCAAAACCUAAUCUUGCAUUACUCUAAACAACUUCAGCACAAAGCAGUGACCCAGGUUUGGCAUGACAGGCAUACAAAUAGGAGGCCUGGCCUUCAAAGGAGAAAAUCUCCAGAUCAAGAGUUGGAUUUAAGUCCCAGACGUGUAAAGUACAAAAGCACUUCCCUAAUUCAAAGGAAGCAACUGUGACCACCUGAGACGCAAAUUACCUUGAAACAAAGCCAGAGGCAGCAUCACCACAGAACCUCCCAGGUGAGAGGCUCCAUACCAGCUAUGAACUGACUGCCCAGAGGAGUUUUCCAUCUAUUGACUCCUCUGUGAAAUCCUAUGAAAUAUGAACUUUCAUUUCUACCCAGGAGAACUUUUACAAUCUUUUCUCCUAUGCCUGAAGAAGGGUGUUUGUGUCUGAAAGCUUGCAAUUAAAGAACAUUUUUUUGCAAAAAUCUUGUUGGUCUAAUUAAAAGAUACAAUAUCUA